rnacentral:rRNA from 1 species
CCUACGGGGGGCAGCAGUGAGGAAUAUUGGUCAAUGGGCGCGAGCCUGAACCAGCCAAGUAGCGUGAAGGAUGACUGCCCUACGGGUUGUAAACCUCUUUUGUCAGGGAGCAAUUGGCGCUACGUGUAGCGUUAUCGAGAGUACCUGAAGAAAAAGCAUCGGCUAACUCGGUGCCAGCAGCCGCGGUAAUACGGAGGAUGCGAGCGUUAUCCGGAUUUAUUGGGUUUAAAGGGUGCGUAGGCGGAAUGCCAAGUCAGCGGUAAAAUCGCGGGGCUCAACCUCGCUCCGCCGUUGAAACUGGCGUGCUUGAGUGGGCGAGAGGUAUGCGGAAUGCGUGGUGUAGCGGUGAAAUGCAUAGAUAUCACGCAGAACUCCGAUUGCGAAGGCAGCAUACCGGCGCCCAACUGACGCUGAAGCACGAAAGCGUGGGUAUCGAACAGGAUUAGAUACCCUAGUAGUC